UUCUCCAAAGGAAUAGCUCAACCGCCGCCGCCCAUCCCUCCGCUCGUCCCCUGAACUCGUCUUCUCCGGCCGCCUCUAUCCCGUCCGUUGAGCAGCCGGUGUCCGGCGAGAUCUGUGGGGGACAGCAUGAGCUCGUGCAUGUCCGUGAGGAGGAGAAGGGCGGCAGUCCGGUUCGGAAGAAGGAGCAGGAUGGCAGCCGAAAUAGGCAGAAGUAGAGCCGGUAGAUCAAGCAGGAGUCCGGUGAGCCCUGUGGGGAGCCGCAGCAGUCCAGAGAUGUCCAUGGGGGCAAAAGGUCACUCGUGCAAGUGAAAGCUCAAGAGCAGUAAAGGUUGCGAGAACUAUGAUUGUCAGUAUUUGGCUACUGAUGUUAGUGAAACAUGAUUGUCAGUAUUUGGCUAUGGAAGAGAAGCAUUUUUUUCCACAAGGAAGAGACCUGCUUAGCCACUUUGGAACUCCAUUAUUUAUUUCUGUCCAAAUGAAAUCUUCUAGGGGGUACUCUGUUCUUUCCAUGGGACAGUACUUGUCCAGUUGUUCAUUGUUUUUCUGUGUGAUAGGAUUAUUGACAUUUCUCUUUUUAUCCGAGAGCUCGUAAGGGUGUGUAUUAUUUGAGUGAUUGAUAAUUUCUGGAGAAUAGAGCUUGCUCUUGUC